rnacentral:rRNA from 1 species
UACGUAGGGGGCAAGCGUUGUUCGGAAUUACUGGGCGUAAAGAGUGUGUAGGCGGUGCUCUAAGUCUGUCGUGAAAUCUCCCGGCUUAACUGGGAGGGUGCGGCGGAUGCUAUUGUGCUAGAGGGUGGGAGAGGUAAGCGGAAUUCCUGGUGUAGCGGUGAAAUGCGUAGAUAUCAGGAGGAACACCUGCGGUGUAGACAGCUUACUGGACCACUUCUGACGCUGAGACACGAAAGCGUGGGUAGCAAACAGG